AACUUUCAGCAACGGAUCUCUUGGCUCUCGCAUCGAUGAAGAACGCAGCGAAAUGCGAUAAGUAAUGUGAAUUGCAGAAUUCAGUGAAUCAUCGAAUCUUUGAACGCACCUUGCGCCCUUUGGCUAUUCCGAAGGGUAUGCCUGUUUGAGUAUCAUG
rnacentral:rRNA from 1 species